rnacentral:tRNA from 1 species
CAUUAGGUGGCUGAAAGUAAGCAAUGGAAUUUUAACCCAUCUAAUAGUAAUUCACGUCUACUUCUAAUG